CUACCCGCUCCGCGAGUGGUGAGGACUAUUACUGGGCUUAAAGCGCCCGUAGCCGGCCGGGUGUGUCCUCCGUUAAAUCCACAGGCCUAACCUGUGGGCUGCGGGGGAUACUACCCGGCUUGGGGGUGGGAGAGGGCGGCGGUAUUCCCGGGGUAGGGGUAAAAUCCACUGAUCCCGGGAGGACCACCAGUGGCGAAGGCGGCCGCCCAGAACACGCCCGACGGUGAGGGGCGAAAGCUGGGGGAGCAAACGGGAUUAGAAACCCCAGUAGUCC
rnacentral:rRNA from 1 species